rnacentral:lncRNA from 1 species
UGUUCUACCCAGUAAAAAGGUAGUCGUAAUCCCUAUUUUGUUCCUUAGAGAGUUAAUCCUUGAUAUGUUCAUCCUAACCGAUGACAAAUUUUCUUCCCUGUUGAGUUUAUCCUUGAUAUGUUCACUUUAAUCGGUGGUUGUAAAUCCUACUUUUCUCACCCUUGGUUUUCUACCCAAUAACCGGUAGUUGUAAAUCCUACUUUUC